rnacentral:sRNA from 1 species
UGUGGCCAAAAGAUCAACGAGCGGCAUUACCAUGUUC